rnacentral:tRNA from 1 species
GCCGGCGUAGCUCAGUUGGUAGAGCGUGGGACUCAUAAGCCCAAGGUCACAGGUUCGAUCCCUGUCGCCGGUA